GACGUAGGGCGCGAGCGUUGUCCGGAUUUAUUGGGCGUAAAGAGCUCGUAGGCGGCUUGUCGCGUCGACCGUGAAAACUUGGGGCUCAACCCCAAGCCUGCGGUCGAUACGGGCAGGCUCGAGUUCGGUAGGGGAGACUGGAAUUCCUGGUGUAGCGGUGAAAUGCGCAGAUAUCAGGAGGAACGCCGGUGGCGAAGGCGGGACUCUGGGCCGAUACUGACGCUGAGGAGCGAAAGCGUGGGGAGCAAACAGG
rnacentral:rRNA from 1 species